AUUGAACGCUGGCGGCAUGCUUUACACAUGCAAGUCGAACGGCAGCACGGGAGCUUGCUCCUGGUGGCGAGUGGCGAACGGGUGAGUAAUGCAUCGGAACGUAUCCAAUAAUGGGGGAUAGCCCGGCGAAAGCCGGAUUAAUACCGCAUACGCCCUGAGGGGGAAAGCGGGGGAUCGCAAGACCUCGCGUUGAUGGAGCGGCCGAUGUCGGAUUAGCUAGUUGGUGGGGUAAAGGCCCACCAAGGCGACGAUCCGUAGCUGGUCUGAGAGGACGACCAGCCACACUGGGACUGAGACGCGGCCCAGACUCCUACGGGAGGCAGCAGUGGGGAAUUUUGGACAAUGGGGGCAACCCUGAUCCAGCCAUGCCGCGUGAGUGAAGAAGGCCUUCGGGUUGUAAAGCUCUUUCGCGAGGAAAGAAAUCUCGCCCUCUAACAUAGGGUGAGGAUGACGGUACCUUGAGAAGAAGCACCGGCUAACUACGUGCCAGCCGCCGCGGUAAAAC
rnacentral:rRNA from 1 species